UGUUUGUUGUUGUUGUUGUUUUUGUUGUUGUUCUUGUUGUUGUUGUUGUUGCACUCGUUAGUAUUGCCGUAAGGCGCUUCAGGCAUGACCACAUGGAAUAUUACUCAUACGCGCUAUUAGCCAAA